GUGCCAGCAGCCGCGGUAAUACGUAGGCAGCAAGCGUUGUUCGGAAUUACUGGGCGUAAAGAGUGCGUAGGCGGUUCGUCAAGUUUGGUGUGAAAUCUCCCGGCUUAACUGGGAGGGUGCGCCGAAAACUGGCGGACUGGAGUGCGGGAGAGGGAAGUGGAAUUCCUGGUGUAGCGGUGAAAUGCGUAGAGAUCGGGAGGAACAUCUGUGGCGAAGGCGGCCACCUGGACCAGUACUGACGCUGAGGCACGAAAGCUAGGGGAGCAAACAGGAUUAGAUACCCUGGUAGUCCUAGCCCUAAACCAUGACGACUGGAUGUCGGAAGGGUCUGCCUUUCGGUGUCGUAGCUAACGGAUUAAGCAUUCCGCCUGGGGAGUACGGCCGCAAGGUUGAAACUCAAAGGAAUAGACGG
rnacentral:rRNA from 1 species